rnacentral:rRNA from 1 species
GUUUCGAAUCAUUCACAAUGGGCGAAAGCCUGAUGGUGCGACGCCGCGUGAGGGAUGAAGGUCUUCGGAUUGUAAACCUCUGUCACUGGGGAAGAAACGCUUUGAGUUAACAGUUCAAAGCCUGACUUAACCCGGAGAGGAAGCAGUGGCUAACUCUGUGCCAGCAGCCGCGGUAAUACAGAGACUGCAAGCGUUAUUCGGAUUCACUGGGCGUAAAGGGUGCGCAGGCGGCCAAGUGUGUGAGGCGUGAAAGCCCGGGGCUUAACCCCGGAAUUGCACCUCAAACUACAUGGCUAGAGCAUUGGAGAGGGUAGCAGAAUUCAUGGUGUAGCAGUGAAAUGCGUAGAUAUCAUGAGGAAUACCAGAGGCGAAGGCGGCUACCUGGACAAUUGCUGACGCUCAGGCACGAAAGCGUGGGGAGCAAAAGGGAUUAGAUACCCGGGUAGUCC